UCCCUGAUAGCUCAGUUGGUAAAGAAUCCGCCUGCAAUGCGGAAAACCUGGGUUUGAUCCCUGGGUUGGGAU
rnacentral:tRNA from 1 species